rnacentral:rRNA from 1 species
GACGAACGCUGGCGGCGUGCUUAACACAUGCAAGUCGAACGGAAAGGCCCCUUUGGGGGUACUCGAGUGGCGGACGGGGGAGUAACACGUGGGUAACCUGCCCUUGACUUCGGUAUAACUUCAGGAAACUGGGGCUAAUACCGGAUAGGCAUCCUUGCUGCAUGGUGGGGGUUGGAAAGCUUCGGCGGUUUUGGAUGGACUCGCGGCUCAUCAGCGUGUUGGUGGGGUAGUGGCUUACCAAGGCUUUGACGGGUAGCCGGCCUGCGAGGGCGAGCGGCCGGACUGGGACUGAGAUAGGGCCCAGAGUGCUAAGGGAGGCAGCAGUGGGGAAAAUUUGACAAUGGGCGGCAGCCUGAUGGAGGAAGGCCGCGUGGGUGAAGACGGCCUUCGGGUUGUAAAACGCGUUCAGCAGGGGCGAAGCGUGUGGUGACGGUACCUGCAGAAGAAGCACCGGCUAAAUACGUG